GUCUAUCAGCAGCUCACUCGGUGCAGCAUGAGACGCUUAAUCUCAUGGUUAUGGGUUCGAACCCCACGUCGGGCA